GUUGAAUUUUAGAAAGAGAUAGGCCUGUGGUAUUGUCACAAGGGUAUACAAAUACUGAGAUUGACUUGUUGAGGCAGUGGUCUCCAUUGGUGGUGACCUUCAGAAGAGACCUGUGUUUCCACAUGGCCUAGACACCUGGAAGGCAGAGAUCCUAACAUUCCAUGACACCCCCACCUUCUAAUUCUGAUUGUGACUCCAGACCAUUACCUGGCACUGGGUCUUACCUCUGGCAUUCCUAUCAGAGCCUGAACCACAGACAGUACCUUAGAGUCUAAGCUUAGGUACCUUUGUCUUGUUUUUGUGGCUAAGGAUUCUCAGAGUUGCGGGAUGCUGAUGAAAUUUAUCCCAAAAGUAAGUUAUGAAUCAGAUCUGCUUUCUUUUGACUCAUUUAAAUCCUUUGUUUAAUGUAAAGAAACUUUAUUGAGGUAUAAUUUACAAACUAUAAAAUUUACCCAUUAUAAUUGUACAGUUGAAUAAUUUUUAGUAAUUUACCCAAGUAGUGCAACCAUUACCAUAAUCCAUGCAUUUGUUUUUAAUUUAUUAUUUGUCUGGGUUCUGAUUCUACUUCCUCAACAAGCUACAGCAUGGCAGUAUCUGCCACCACUUGUUUUGGUCCAAGGGCAGAAAUCAGCAUCCUGGAAACCAAUCAGUACUUGCGCUCUGAACUGGAAAAGUGCAAACAGAACUUCCAAGACCUCACAGAGAAAUUCCUGACAUCCAAAGCUACUGCCUACUCCCUGACCAAUCACCUGCAGAAAUAUAGAUACAUGAUCCCUUAAUUCAGGCUCAGGCUGAAGAACUGACCCACUUACGACAGAAGACACAGGAAGGGAGAGGUGUCUGCUACCUUUUUACCCAGCAUGUGAAGAACACAGUCAAGUCUUUUGAGGGCCUUCUCAGGAACACUGGCAUUGCCUACUACCAGAGACAGAGAUUCU
rnacentral:lncRNA from 10 species